GACCCCAGGGUUACCAAGGUGACCCAGGUCAGCCCGGUUUACCAGGAGUUCCAGGAGAUCCCGGUGUCGGUGGGUGGAUCAAAUAUUUAUCAGAAGCAUAGUUAAACAUUCAAGCCUACACCUGUGGCUUGGGUUACAACCAACAUUUACUUCUGAAUUUACUUGAUCCUUUUGGGUAUAUGUUGUAUUGUUCAUUGUAUUGUUUUCUCCCCAGGUUUCCCUGGACCCCAGGGACAACCUGGAGGUCCAGGACCAGAAGGGGACAGUGGACCUCCAGGGCCCCAAGGUCCAGAGGGCCCCGAGGGACAACCGGGUCCAAAAGGUGAGGCUGGCGUUCCAGGUGCUCCAGGUAUCCCUGGCUACUCCAGUGGUGGAUUAUCCAGGAGUUCCCCUGGAGCACCAGGUCCACCUGGACCUCCCGGGGCUCCCGGCCGCGAUGGGCCACCUGGGUCUGGGUCUGGAACACCGGACAUCCGCCAAUACAUCACAGAAUACCUCAAGAGCGAUGGUGUCAGGGAGUACAUGUCGGGACCUCCGGGUCCUCCAGGUGUACCGGGACCCCCUGGUGACGGAUCAGUGGAGUCAGUGGACGAUCUUGCUAGUCGCGUUAUCGCGUACAUCCAGAGUGGCGGUAUUGCUAGUGGGGUGCCUGGACCUCCAGGCCCGCCUGGCGCUCCCGGUGGAGGCAGUACAUCGCUAAAUGACAUCAUCAGCCUUCUACAGAGUGAGGAAGUGCGACGCUACGUCGUUGGUCCUCCUGGCCCUGCUGGACCUCCUGGCAUCCCAGGGAUCCCAUGGAGAGGAGGCUAUGGCUUUAAUACCCAUGAGGUGGCUGGACGGGUCCUCACUCUAAUGAAUGGUAAGGAAUCACUGUGA
rnacentral:lncRNA from 13 species